ACCAGACUCCUACGGGAGGCAGCAGUGGGGGAUAUUGCACAAUGGGGGGAACCCUGAUGCAGCGACGCCGCGUGGGUGAAGGAGUGCUUCGGCAUGUAAAGCCCUAUCGGCAGGGAAGAAGCAAGACGGUACCUGACUAAGAAGCCCCGGCUAACUACGUGCCAGCAGCCGCGGUAAUACGUAGGGGGCGAGCGUUAUCCGGAUUCACUGGGUGUAAAGGGAGCGUAGACGGCCAUGCAAGCCAGGGGUGAAAGCCCGGGGCCCAACCCCGGGACUGCCCUUGGAACUGCAUGGCUGGAGUACGGGAGGGGCAGGCGGAAUUCCUGGUGUAGCGGUGAAAUGCGUAGAUAUCAGGAGGAACACCGGCGGCGAAGGCGGCCUGCUGGACCGCGACUGACGUUGAGGCUCGAAAGCGUGGGGAGCGAACAGGAUUAGAUACCCCUGUAGG
rnacentral:rRNA from 1 species